rnacentral:tRNA from 1 species
AGGCGGGAGCUGCAGGUUCGAGCCCCGUCAGUCCCG